rnacentral:misc_RNA from 1 species
GUUGUGGAGUUAGUGGGGUUUUUUUUUUUUUUUUUCAACAUAGGAAAGAGUCAAGAAAUGAGUCAUCCUUUGGUUCUUCCUUGGCUCCCGAGUAUGCACCCUCCCUCUGUGAUGUAUUGUGUUUGAUUCAUGUAUGAGCCCGUUGGCUUUCCAAAUCCUGAGAAGCCAAUGCCCCCUGUACCCUGCAACAUUUCCAGGGUGAAUGGUGCUUGACCUGCUGAUGUUGGUAAUCUUGUGCUGUUUAGCGAGCUUGGAUAAUUUGCGUUUGUUGUGACAGAGGGCCUUAUAGGGAUAGGCAUAUUGCUGCUGUUAGCAUUGGAUGGAGGUCUAUUGGAUGCAUAGCCGCUGCUACGUGCAGCUGGAACAUCGUGGUUGUGCUUCCCUUCGUAAGUGGUGAUCACCGCCCUUGUAUCAUGCGAUGCUCGUUCCACAUGUUUCCGCACAGGACAACCAACAGACGUGCACUUGUAGUAGCUCCUUGGAUUGGGAUU